rnacentral:rRNA from 1 species
GAUGAACGCUGGCGGCGUGCCUAAUACAUGCCAGUCGAGCGAACGGACGAGAAGCUUGCUUCUCUGAUGUUAGCGGCGGACGGGUGAGUAACACGUGGAUAACCUACCUAUAAGACUGGGAUAACUUCGGGAAACCGGAGCUAAUACCGGAUAAUAUUUUGAACCGCAUGGUUCAAAAGUGAAAGACGGUCUUGCUGUCACUUAUAGAUGGAUCCGCGCUGCAUUAGCUAGUUGGUAAGGUAACGGCUUACCAAGGCAACGAUGCAUAGCCGACCUGAGAGGGUGAUCGGCCACACUGGAACUGAGACACGGUCCAGACUCCUACGGGAGGCAGCAGUAGGGAAUCUUCCGCGAUGGGCGAAAGCCUGACGUAGCAACGCCGCGUGAGUGAUGAAGGUCUUCGGAUCGUAAAACUCUGUUAUUAGGGAAGAACAUAUGUGUAAGUAACUGUGCACAUCUUGACGGUACCUAAACAGAAAGCCACGGCUAACUACGUG